ACCGUUCAGCACCUGACAUCCUCGAAGCACCCCGUCACCAGUUCCACGUGUGGAGCCAAAUUCAAGACAUCAAAUGAAUUGAGUGGACUAAUCGUUGAACAUGUUGCUGCGUGUCUUACUAAGCCGGGAGCAGAAUGUCUGGCUGUGUGAUCUAACGCUUGAAGUAUUCCUAAAAGAAGGAAAGCGACUUGCGGUAGCGGCCGACGUCUCCGGUGCCAUUAAUGUGCCACGACCCCCAGCUGCUGCAGAAGUCACAGCAAAACAUCGUCACAACAAUAGGCGGCGGAAAAGCCUGUUUCAUGAGGGGGGGUACCCUCAAUCGUCAGGAGACACCAUGUCACCAUGACAGCAACCACCCACCCACCACCACGAAAAGAAUACCUACCGGAAUCAAUAAAAGGCUAUCGAUGCUGUCAUCUAGCAAAGCUGAAUUUGACCAAGCAACCCCCCCGUACCAAAAAGCCCUUGAUGAAAGCGGAUACAAUUUCACCCUCACCUAUGAACCCACGCUAGGAAACCAGCCAAAAAAGAACAGAAAAC